rnacentral:rRNA from 1 species
GAUGAACGCUGGCGGCGUGCCUAAUACAUGCGAGUCGAGCGAACAGACGAGGAGCUUGCUCCUCUGACGUUAGCGGCGGACGGGUGAGUAACACGUGGAUAACCUACCUAUAAGACUGGGAUAACUUCGGGAAACCGGAGCUAAUACCGGAUAAUAUAUUGAACCGCAUGGUUCAAUAGUGAAAGACGGUUUUGCUGUCACUUAUAGAUGGAUCCGCGCCGCAUUAGCUAGUUGGUAAGGUAACGGCUUACCAAGGCAACGAUGCGUAGCCGACCUGAGAGGGUGAUCGGCCACACGGGAACUGAGACACGGUCCAGACUCCUACGGGAGGCAGCAGUAGGGAAUCUUCCGCGAUGGGCGAAAGCUUGACGGAGCAACGUCGCGUGAGUGAUGAAGGUCUUCGGAUCGUAAAACUCUGUUAUUAGGGAAGAACAAAUGUGUAAGUAACUAUGCACGUCUUGACGGUACCUAAUCAGAAAGCCACGGCUAACUACGUG